rnacentral:lncRNA from 1 species
CUGAAAACUUUCCAGGGCAUUUGAGGCCUUCAGGAAGCCCAUCAGACCCUGGGCAACAACCUAAUUGUCCUUUUGGAGAAUGCCCGUGUGGCCCUAGUGGUCACUUAUCAUUUUGUGCCAGCCUCUUGACCUGGUCUAGAAGAAGCAGAUCUAGUGUGGACAUGAGGGAUGGGGUAUGGUUUUAUCAUUUAUAGGUAGAUGUAUGGCUGGGUUCUUCCCAGAUGAGAAAAGGAGAACUGAGAAAGUUGAUUUCAAAUUGAAUUGGCAGGAACCGGUGUGUGAAGGGAAAAUAUUCUGGAAGGUUUUGUUUCAGACUACUUUGGUUUGGUUUUUGAGACAGGGUCUCACUUUGUUACCCAGUCUGGGCUCCAACUCCUGUCUCAGCCUUCACAGUAGCUGAAAUUACAUGUGUAUGUCAUUGUGCCCAGUUUAAAGUAACAAACCUGUCUCCUGGUGGGCUCCAACAACAACCUUUCUGUUAACACCGAACGUGCUGACCAGUUUGUGCCACAGAGACAUAAACCUGCAGUUUUUAAAUGAUGUCCUAGUUGCAUUUGAGAGAGCAACUAAGCUGGUAAGAUAAAUACUUAAGUGGAAUAAUGUGUCUAAUUUUCUCUUCUGAUUUGGAGUGAUUGCUGGAGUUGAUGAGGACAGAGAGCACUUCUGCUCCUUUCUCUGUCUCUUGUCCAGCUCCAUCUCUUUGAGCUCCUUUGGGCUCCCUGCAGGAAUGCUGCAUAAGCUUAACUGUCCCCAUACAUUUGGGGGCAAGUCUUCCCCAGAGAGAACUCUGUGAGAUUCACAAGAAGGGAACCAGGAAUGUCAAGAUCAGGCUUUUUGCUCUGUGCCCC